CCUACGGGUGGCUGCAGUGGGGAAUAUUGGGCAAUGGGCGCAAGCCUGACCCAGCAACGCCGCGUGAAGGAAGAAGGCUUUCGGGUUGUAAACUUCUUUUAAGGGGGACGAACAAAUGACGGUACCCCUUGAAUAAGCCACGGCUAACUACGUGCCAGCAGCCGCGGUAAUACGUAGGUGGCAAGCGUUAUCCGGAUUUAUUGGGUGUAAAGGGCGUGUAGGCGGGAGAGCAAGUCAGAUGUGAAAACUCAGGGCUCAACCCUGAGCCUGCAUUUGAAACUGUGUUUCGUGAGUGCUGGAGAGGCAAUCGGAAGUCCGUGUGUAGCGGUGAAAUGCGUAGAUAUACGGAGGAACACCAGUGGCGAAGGCGGAUUGCUGGACAGUAACGGACGCUGAGGCGCGAAAGCGUGGGGAGCAAACAGGAUUAGAUACCCCUGUAGUC
rnacentral:rRNA from 1 species